AAACAUGUCUAGUGAGCAAUCACCGCUGUGAAGGUGCUGCAUGGUUGUCGUCAGCUCGUGCCGUGAGGUGUCGGCUUAAGUGCCAUAACGAGCGCAACCCUUAUCUUCAGUUACUAACAGGUCAUGCUGAGGACUCUGGAGAGACUGCCGUCGUAAGAUGUGAGGAAGGUGGGGAUGACGUCAAAUCAGCACGGCCCUUACGUCCGGGGCUACACACGUGUUACAAUGGGGGGUACAGAAGGCAGCUAGCGGGUGACCGUAUGCUAAUCCCAAAAUCCUCUCUCAGUUCGGAUCGAAGUCUGCAACCCGACUUCGUGAAGCUGGAUUCGCUAGUAAUCGCGCAUCAGCCACGGCGCGGUGAAUACGUUCCCGGGUCUUGUACA
rnacentral:rRNA from 1 species